AGAGUUUGAUCCUGGCUCAGAACGAACGUUGGCGACGCGUUUUAAGCAUGCAAGUCGAGGGGCAGCAUUCCCUUCGGGGAGAUGGCGACCGGCGGACUGGUGAGUAACACGUAGAUGAUCUAUCCUUCAAUCCGGGAUAGCCAGUGGAAACGCUGAGUAAUACCGGAUAUUGACCAUGGAUUACGGUUCAUGGUUGAAAGGCCUAUUUGGUUGUUGAAGGGUGAGUUUGCGUCCUAUUAGCUUGUUGGUGUGGUAAGAGCACACCAAGGCGAUGAUAGGUAGCCGACCUGAGAGGGUGUACGGCCACAUUGGGACUGAGAUACGGCCCAGACUCCUACGGGAGGCAGCAGCUAAGAAUAUUCCGCAAUGGGCGCAAGCCUGACGGAGCGACGUCGCGUGAGGGAUGAAGGCCUUCGGGUUGUAAACCUCUUUUCGGCAGGGAAGAAUAAGGCAGGAAGGCAAUGUCCUGCUGAUGACGGUACCUGCAGAAGAAGCCCCGGCUAACUACGUGCCAGCAGCCGCGGUAAUACGUAGGGGGCAAACGUUGUUCGGAAUUAUUGGGCGUAAAGAGCACGUAGGCGGGUAGAUAAGUUAAUGGUCAAAGACCCAGGCUUAACUUGGGACAUGCCAUUAAUACUGUCUAUCUUGAGUUGCGCAGAGGCAGCAGGAAUUCCUGGUGUAGGGGUGAAAUCUGUAGAUAUCAGGAGGAACACCAAUGGCGAAGGCAAGCUGCUGGGUGACAACUGACGCUGAGGUGCGAAAGCCAGGGGAGCGAACGGGGUUAGAUACCCCGGUAGUCCUGGCCGUAAACGAUGCACACUAGUUGUCGGGUAUAUUAAAAUACUUGGUGACGAAGUAAACGCGAUAAGUGUGCCGCCUGGGGAGUAUGCCCGCAAGGGUGAAACUCAAAGGAAUUGACGGGGGCCCGCACAAGCGGUGGAGCAUGUGGUUUAAUUCGAUGGUACGCGAAGAAUCUUACCUGGGUUUAAAUAUCGGUAGACAGCUUCAGAGAUGAAGUCUCCCUUUUGGGCUGCCGGUAAGGUGCUGCAUGGCCGUCGUCAGCUCGUGUCGUGAGAUGUUGGGUUAAGUCCCGCAACGAGCGCAACCCUCACUCCUUGUUGCUAAGCAGCGCUUCGGUGCUGCAGGACUCUUGGAGAACUGCCCCGGUUAACGGGGAGGAAGGUGGGGAUGACGUCAAGUCCUCAUGGCCCUUAUGUCCAGGGCUACACACGUGCUACAAUGGAGAGUACAAAGGGAUGCUUAGCCGCGAGGUGAAGCGAAACCCAAAAAACUUUCCUCAGUUCGGAUUGCAGUCUGAAACUCGACUGCAUGAAGGUGGAAUCGCUAGUAAUCGCAGAUCAGCAUGCUGCGGUGAAUACGUUCUCGGGCCUUGUACACACCGCCCGUCACACCACCCGAGUUGAGCUCACCCGAAGUCGUGACAUCUCGGUCAUGCCGAAGGUAAGCUUGGUAAGGAGGGUGAAGUCGUAACAAGGCG
rnacentral:rRNA from 1 species